rnacentral:rRNA from 1 species
GAUGAACGCUGGCGGCGUGCUUAACACAUGCAAGUCGAACGGGAAAUAUUUCAUUGAGACUUCGGUGGAUUUGAUUUAUUUCUAGUGGCGGACGGGUGAGUAACGCGUGGGUAACCUGCCUUAUACAGGGGGAUAACAGUCAGAAAUGGCUGCUAAUACCGCAUAAGCGCACAGAGCUGCAUGGCUCAGUGUGCAAAACUCCGGUGGUAUAAGAUGGACCCGCGUUGGAUUAGCUAGUUGGUGGGGUAACGGCCCACCAAGGCGACGAUCCAUAGCCGGGCUGAGAGGGUGAACGGCCACAUUGGGACUGAGACACGGCCCAGACUCCUACGGGAGGCAGCAGUGGGGAAUAUUGCACAAUGGGGGAAACCCUGAUGCAGCGACGCCGCGUGAAGGAAGAAGUAUCUCGGUAUGUAAACUUCUAUCAGCAGGGAAGAUAGUGACGGUACCUGACUAAGAAGCCCCGGCUAACUACGUG